GUUUCCGACAAUAAGCAAGAGUGACUUUUAUAGUCAAAGUGUUUCCUUUGAAGUAUCACUUGGAUUGCAUGUUUAUUGGAGGGUCUGCCACACCUAUAGACUACACGCUCCUUCCUACCACAUUCCACACCUCCCGAAGUCCCAGAGCCUGGACGGAACCCAAGUGGUGGCUGGACAUUUGUUAGCAAGGCUCUUAGCUUUCAUUUAUUUAUUUUUGGCUCUUAGCUUUUAAUUGGCCAUAGUCUUUCUCUCUACCUGACCGAGACACACCUUGGUCUUCAGAUCAAAUGUUUGGGCUGUGUAGCCACUUUCUACCAUAAACAAGGCUACUGCUCGUUUUCAGGCUCCAGAAUUUGUUUCUUAGGUCGAGAAGUGUCAAGACAAGGGUGAGGAAAUCUGCUUGCUUUCUGAGGGAUGCCAGCCCCAGGAAUUGCGGCAGAGAUUCCAGGAGAGGCAUCCGUAACUUGUGUGUGUCUAUGUGUGCUCAGUCGUGUCCGACUCUCUGCAACCCCAUGGACUGUAGUCCUCCAGGGAUCGCAAAGAGUUAGAUGUGACUGAGCACGCACAAAAGGAUGCAAAAGACCUUGGGAAAACAGCUCUCAUUGUAUUUUACCUUACUCAUCUGGCAAAUGUCAGAACUGACUACAACACCUGAAAAUCCCUUCAAGUUCUAGCAUUACAUAUUUUUUUUGCAUUUCUUUUUAAUGCUAUUAUUUUUAAUUAAUUCCUAGCUUUUAAAAAAAAUAAUCGAUUUUUAUUUUUGGUUGCGCUGGGUGUUCGUUGCUGCACACAAGCUUUCUCUAGUUGCUGAGAGCAAGGGCUGCUCUUUGUUGCAGAGCUCGAGCUUCUCACUGCAGUGGCUUGUUGCUGAGCAUGGGCUUUAGGCGCACGGGCUCAGUAGUUGUGGCACACCAGCUUAGUUGCUUCCAGGCACAUGGAAUCUUCCUGGACCAGGGAUCAAACCCGUGCCCCCUGCAUUGGCAGGCGGGUUCCUAUCCACUGUGUCACUAGAGAAGUCUCAUUUCUUUUAAAUUUAAAAGCUGUAUGACCUCAAGCAAGUAAUGAAAACUCCCUGAUAUUCAUAAUAACAUAGCAUAUUUCAUGCUUAAAUAGCUUUUUAUGAUACUAUCACAUAUCUUGUUAAAUCUUAGUGGGUCAGUGACAGAGCCACGGAGAAACUGAGGCUCAGUGAGGUUGAAAGAAAUCUAGCCCAGACCACAACUACACCAAAGCGGUGGCAGAGGAACCAAAGCCAGGUUCUGGCCCUGCUCUCUCAUCUCUCUCUGUCCUUCCUAUCCACCGGGUUUUCACCAGCCCAGGGAAGGCAAACCAACCAUGGAGAGUAUUAUAAAUGGGUGUCCUCAAAGCUCUAAACCUCUUGAGAUCUCUAUCUGUAUGGUGGCUCUUCUCAAGAUAAAGUGCCCAACUGUUUUCCAGAGUGGUUAUGCCAUUUUACAUUUCCAUCAACGGUGUAUGAGAUGAGAGCUCCGGCUCCUCCACAUCCUCCGCAACACUUAUUACUGUCCGUGUAAUUUUGGACAUUCUCAUAGGUACAUAGUGGUUAUCUCAUGGUAAUAACCAGUGACGUUAAGCCUCCUUCCAAUGUGCUUACUGGCCAUCGAUAUAGCUUCUUUGGCGAAGUAUCUCUUCAAAUCUUUCACUUAUUUUUAGAUUGGGUGAUUUUCUUACGAGUUCCUUAUAUAUUCAGGACACAAGUCCUUUGUUAGAUAAAUGAUUUGCAAAUUUUACCCAGUCUGUAUCUUGUCUUUUUGUUCUCUUUAUCAGGACUUUUGAAGAACAGUUCUCAGUUUUGAUGGUCCAAUUUAUCCUUUUUUUUCUUCUUUGAACUACGCUUUUAGUAUUAUAUCUAAUACCUCUUUGCUUAACUCAUGGUCACAAAGAUUUCCGACCAAUGUUUUCUUCUAACAAUUUUAUAGUUUUACAUUUAGGCCCUUGAUUCAUUUUUUAUUGUGGUAAAAUAUAUGUAACAUGAAGUUUACCGUAUAAAAAGACAGUAUUUUUAUGAGGUGUUAUGGGUUUCCUGUGCUUUUUAUGGCUAUGCUGAACAGCUUGUGGGAUCCUACGUUCCCAGACCAGGAACUGAACCUGGGCCCUCAGCAGUAGAGCGGAGAGUUCCAACCAACGGGCCACCAGGGAAUUCCCAUUAAGAGCAACUUUAGGUUCACAGCCAAAUUGGGCAGAAGGUACAGAAAUUUCCAAUAUACCGCUUGCUCCCACUCAUGUACAGCCUCCCUAUCAGCGUCCCCUCACCCUCUGUACAUUUCUUAAAAUUGAUGAACCUACGGUGAUACGUCAUAACCCAAUGCACAUCAUUUACAUCAGGGUUCAUUCUUGAUGUUACAUGUUCUGUGGGUUUGGAGGAAUGUUUAAUGACAUGUAUUCAUCAUUAUAGUGUCACACAGAAUAGUUUCACUGCCCUAAAAAUUCUUUGUGCUCCAUCUAUUCAUUCUUCCGUCUCCCCCAAUCCCUGGAAACCACUGAUCUUUUUAGUUACCAUAACUGUGCCUUUUACAGAAUGUCACACAGUUGGAAUCAUACAAUAUGUAAAAACUUUCCUUCUUAGGAAUGUAUUUCGUUUCCUCCACAUCUUCUCAUGGCUUGAAAGUUGAUUUCUUUCUAGUGCCGGAAAAAACUCGUCUGGAUGUACCACCGUUUAUUUAUACAUUCACUUGCUGAAGGACAUUUUGGUUGCUUCCAAGUUUUGGCAAUUAUGAAUAAAACUGCUAUAAAUACGCAGGGGCCGGUUUUUGUGUAGAGGCAAGUUUUCAGCUCCUUUGGUAAAUACCAAGGAGCACGAUUGGUGGAUGGUAUGUAAGAACAUGUUUUGUUUUGUACAUAAUUGCCAAAAUUAUCUUCCAAAGUGGCUGUGCUAUUUUGCUUUCCCGCCAACAAUGAAUCCGAUUUCCUGUUGCUCUACAUCUUUGCCAGCAUUUGGUGUUGUCAGUGUUCUGCAACUUGGUCGUUUCAAUAGGUGUACACAGGAUGGUACUUUUUAACCAUCAUUAAGUACACAAUUCAGUGGCAUUAAAUACAUUGACAAUGUUAUGUAACCAUCACUAUGAUCUACUUCCAAAACUUUUUCUUUCAUCACCCAAACAGAAACUCUCUAGCCAUUAGCAGUAACUCCGUUUCCCCUGCCUCAGCCUCUCUAAACCUCUAUUUUCGGCCCCUAUGAAGUUGUCCAUUCUUGAUUCCUCAUGUAAGAGGACUAAGAGAAUUAUCUGUCCUUUGUGUCUGGCUUUUCCCUUAGCGUAUUUUCAAGGUUCAUCCAUACACAUUUUGUUUAUCCGUAUCUUUUAGCUAUUGUGAACAAUGCUGAAGCAACACUGGUGUGCAGGUGCCACUUAAGUUUGGUAUUUCCAGUUCUUUGGGGGUAUACACUGGGAGUGCAACUGCUAGGUCACACGGUAACCAUUUAGCUUUUGGAGGAACCACCAGUCUUCCGCAGUUGCCUAGUUUACAUUGCAACUAUUACAGAGACAUAGAAGAGUUCCAAUUUCCUCACACCCUCACCAACACUCAUCUUAUGUGAGACGGCAGCCAUCCUAAUGGGUGUGAAGGUGUAUCUUGAUGUGGUUUUGACUUGCGUUUCCCUGAAGUUUUAAUAAUAAUGUUGAGCAUCUUUUCACGUGCUUAUUGGCCAUAUGUUUACCUUAUUUGGAGAAGUAUCUUCAAGUCCUCACUUAAAAAUCUUUUUGUUGUUCUUUAAGAGUUCUUUAUGUAUUCUAAACAGUAUCUCAUCAGAUAUAUAAUUUGCAGGUAAUUCCCAUUUCUGUGGGUGGCCUUUUCACUGUGGACUGUAGUGUCCUUCAAUGCACAUACAACUUGUGUUAACUAUGUACUCUGUGAUUUUGCUGAAUUCAUUUGAUCAAGUAGUUUUCUUGUGGAUUCUUUGGAAUUUUUUCUAUAUAGGAUCACCUCAUCGGUGAAUAUUUCACUUUUUCCUUUCCAAUUUGGAUGUCUCUUUCCUGUCUAGUUGGUUUGGCUCAACCUUCUAGUACAAUGUUCAAUAGCAAUGGUGAUAGUAGGUGUCCUUGUUCCUGAUCUUGGGGGAAAAACUUUCAGUCUUUAACCAGAGGAUAUUGGCUGUCAGUUCUUCAUAAAUACCCUUUGUCAGGUAAAGGACAUUCCCUUCCAUUCCUAGGUUUCUAGUAUUUUAUCACAAAAGGGCAUUGCUUUGUCAAAUGCCUUUUCUGCAUCAUCUGAACUGCUCAUAUGAGUUUUUCUUUGUCCUAUUAAUGUGGUACAUUGUCUGAUUUUCUUACGCUGAAUCAUGCUUGCAUUUCUGCAAUAAGCCCUUUUGAUCGUGUAUAAUCCUUCUAACAUGCUGUUGGAUUUAGUUUGCUUGUAUUUUGUUGCUAAAAAAUGUCUCUCUCUCCAUCCACUUAAAGUGUGUUUAUAUUCAUUUCAUGCAGUACUAAUAGCUGGCAUCUGUCAAUGGACUUUUCCCUUGAGAACUGGUUACAUGGUUAAUUCUGGAUGGUCUCCUGGACAUUUUGAUUACGUUGUGUGACUCUAGAUUCUGUCUAAAUCCAAGGAAUAUUUUUGUUUUAGCAGGCAAUUUAAUGUCAGAAAGAUAGGGUUCCUUAGACCUUUUAGCUGCCUAUGCCACCAAAACAGCUCUAGCUCUACGAUGGGGCCAUACUUGGGCCGCAACAGGAGAAACAGAACAGUGAUUCCCCUUCUUCGGUCUAGCGUCCCCCUUUCCUGGUUCCUCUGCCCAGAAGGUAACAGUUUUAGCUGUCAGAGCUAAACUGCUGCAGCCUUGCAACUUUGCCUGCUCUUAAGGACGAGGAAAGGAAAAAAGAAGUGGGAUUUUCUAUUAUGUUCUCCAGCUCACAGGGUCCCUUUUUCUGGUCCUCUGGUCAAAGCUAAGCUGGGUUCUUUUAGGGGUUUUGCAGCCAUGUGUCAGAGGUGAAAGUCAUGAAAAGGAAAAAUGCCAGCAAACUCAGCCCUGUAGGGACUAUGUAAGUUUUGACUCCCCCUCCUAAUCUGCUUUUAUUUUUCAGAAUCCUCAGGUUAACUUUUGGUAUUUUUGCCAAUUUUUGGUUAUAAUCAAUUAGAGACAGGCUGUAGUGGAUUUAAAUCUUGACCAGCAGGGACUUCCCUGGUGGUCCAGCGGUUAAGACUCUGUGCUUCCAAUGCAAGGGACUCGGGUUAAAUCCUUGGUCGGGGAGCUUAAGAUCCCACAUGCCACUGAACUUUUUUUGGUGUGCCCCACCCUUCCACCCUGCCAAAAAAAAAAAUCUUGACCAGCACCAGAAGCUGGGAAGCAUCUAUAGAGAACUCAUGAGUUUGUGCUUUAUACACAAUUUCACAAGAGCCAUUAUUGUUUUCCAUCUAAACUUGCUCAAACCAAUGCUAGAAAGUUACAUCAGAGAACAGUGUGAACUGGAGCUUGCUUUCACAAAAAUGUCUGUCUCAAAUUCAUAAUAGGAAAAUUUAUGAAUCAGCUUAACUUUCACAAAAACUGCUUCAUUAUUAUUUCAUCCAGAUUUGUUUGAAU
ensembl:lncRNA